GUUGGGUACCCACAAGAGGGCGAAGAAGAAGAAGAGAGGAGAUGUCCAGUGUCCUCAGGAAGAUGAGGUGUGUAAAAUUUGGGCAGUUCUGGAACUAACUAGGAGUUAAGACGCUAUAUUUUAUUAAAAAUGAGUUGCUCUGAACUAGUAUCAGUUGCAAAAUGUGUUACAUAUUGACCCGGAGGUCGGGAUCAUGACUCGUAGAGGCAUUAAAAGUAAUAAUAUGCAUACUUGUUUCAAGGAUUAGGUAAAGUUGUCAUGAUACAUUACAUUCAUUCUUAGUAUGGAAGUUGAAGCAACCCCUAGUACUAAAUUUUCUAUGGCUCGCUUCCUUCGCUGUGAAGACAGAGCGGGUGGAGAGUUUUGCCGGUGUGCGCGCAAGUGCUUUGAUUAGUAAAAGAUGUAAACAUGCUCAUCAUAUGCUAUCUGAUUCUGAGUCGAUUUAGAUUAAUUAUGAUUUUGUUAUUCUGCUUUAUGAUUUACUCAAUCACUAUUGUUUCAUGAUGAUUAUGCAAUAAUGCUCCUAUUCUUCCUCGACCACCUGGACCACCACGCCAGCGGGCUCCUGAAGCAUUAACUUCAGUAACGGUGACCAUCCAUUCCUCCAUUCCUUGUUUGCAGCUAGCGUUUUAGUUCUCCUAGAGCUAGUUAGUUUAGUCUGCUAUGGUUUGGAGUGCUUUGGGUUUCAAUUCACUGCAGCAGAAGCACCAUUCUUUUGCCUUUUUCAUUUAGAUGCCUUUGGAUUGUUUUGCAUCAGAACCUGUUCAAGGAGAUUUGCUUUUGGUAGAUGCAGAGUAUAGAUUAAUUAUUCCAUAAAAUUCAUCACAUGAGUAUACUACUUAAUAGCCAAUAGUUUACUUAAUUUAUUUGCACAACCUUGCUGUUUGACUGCUAUUUUAUGGUUUGGAUGUAUAUACGAGAUGGUGGGCUGUUGGAUGUGGAUUGUGAGUCCACGGCAAGACUGAGCAUUCUUUUAGCAACUUGUUGUACACUUGCUCUGCUUGAGGCUACUAUAUAACUUGUGCCUUUUAACUUGAUGUGCAUAGCAUGCAAUUUUUUACUGUAUCACAUUCACACUGUCUGAAUCCUAAUACCCAUUUCUGUACAAUGUCAAUAGUGCAUUUGGUUUGCAUUGAUCAUUAGCAGUUUGUAUCAAAUGCAGGUGCUCUGCUUCUCCACGGGCUCGUUCACCAUUCGUUCAACUUUAGAGCUCAUCAGGUCUGUUCUUGCCCUGACCAAGCUAUUCAAGUAUGUUAGGUUUGCAAUAAUAUUUAUUAUUAGUUGGGCUCUUACAAUGCAUAGGCACAGCAGGAUAUACUCCUGUGUGCUACUAAAUGUCACAGAGAAGAAACAAAGAUGGCAAGUAAAAAGAAACUGUUUAUAACUUGAACACUAGUUGAAUUUAUGGCAAAAGUAAUUUGUAAAACAAAACAUGGAUUAGAUCAACAAGUCCUUAGCAUAUCAAAUGUGCCACUUUGGAAAUGUCAGCCUGUAGCACAUAAUAUGUUAUCUUAUUGUUGCUGUGUCACUAUAUCCUAGUAAUUCUGCUGUUUCACUUUAUCCCAGUAAAGCAAGAUGCUUGUUAUACUCAUGUUCCUGAUGAUAUUGGUGUACACUCAGUUUGGCUGUUUCUUCUAGUUCUGCUACUAGUUGCUGUGUAGUAAUACAGAAAUAUUAAUGCUCAAAUAUGCUGAUGUGGCCUGUAGCACACCUGCUUCGAAGCUGACCCGUCCGUCGUCAUCGCCUUUGAUGACGACGAGGACACCGUAGGCACCGUCGGCCUCGGUGGCGGCUUCCACCACUACAACAUCGUCGUCACCUACCAAGGCAUCAAGGGGUGAAUUGAUUUGAUCGUUAAUAUGUGGCUGGAUGUGAUGUUUUGCAGGUUGAAGGUGCUAAGGUGUUGGAGACGUGCCUGUACUUGUUGAGCGUUUUAUCUGUAGAGUGCUAUAUUGUGAUUGGUGUAAUAUUGUAUGGUUAUAUUGUGAUUGGUGGAAUGUAAUAAAAUUGAUUGGUACAUCGGUGAUUUGGAUAUUAUUUGAAUAUAUUUAAAAUGUGUUCUCUGAUUGGUAUAUCAUUGAGUUACAAGUUGUGAAAAAUUAAAACCUGAUGUUUGGGACCUAGUGCCUAGAAGAAUCUAACAAUGUGCAUCCAGUUGACUACAAUAAUCU
rnacentral:lncRNA from 1 species